CCUACGGGUGGCAGCAGUGAGGAAUAUUGGUCAAUGGACGAGAGUCUGAACCAGCCAAGUAGCGUGAAGGAUGACUGCCCUAUGGGUUGUAAACUUCUUUUAUAUGGGAAUAAAACGUUCCACGUGUGGGAUUUUGUAUGUACCAUAUGAAUAAGGAUAGGCUAACUCCGUGCCAGCAGCCGAGGUAAUACGGAGGGUCCGAGCGUUGUCCGGAUUUAUUGGGUGUAAAGGGAGCGUAGGUGGGUUGUUAAGUCAGUUGUGAAAGUUUGCGGCUCAACCGUAAAAUUGCAGUUGAAACUGGAAGUCUUGAGUACAGUAGAGGUGGGCGGAAUUCGUGGUGUAGCGGUGAAAUGCUUAGAUAUCACGAAGAACUCCGAUUGCGAAGGCAGUUCACUGGACUGCAACUGACACUGAGGCUCGAAAGUGUGGGUAUCAAACAGGAUUAGAUACCCGAGUAGUC
rnacentral:rRNA from 1 species